rnacentral:rRNA from 1 species
UAGUAACUGCGAGUGAAGCGGGAAAAGCUCAAAUUUAAAAUCUGGCGGUCUUUGGCCGUCCGAGUUGUAAUCUAGAGAAGUAAUGCCCGUGCUGGACCGUGUAUAAGUCUCCUGGGAUGGGGCGUCAUAGAGGGUGAGAAUCCCGUCUUUGACACGGACUACCAGUGCAUUGUGGUAUGCUCUCAAAGAGUCGAGUUGUUUGGGAAUGCAGCUCAAAAUGGGUGGUAAAUUCCAUCUAAAGCUAAAUAUUGGCGAGAGACCGAUAGCGAACAAGUACCGUGAGGGAAAGAUGAAAAGAACUUUGGAAAGAGAGUUAAACAGUACGUGAAAUUGCUGAAAGGGAAACGCUUGAAGUCAGUCGCGUUGGCCAGGGAUCAGCCUUGCUUUUGCAUGGUGUACUUUCUGGUUGACGGGUCAGCAUCAAUUUUGACCGCUGGAAAAAGGCUUGGGGAAUGUGGCAGCAUUGGCUGUGUUAUAGCCCCUGGUCACAUACAGCGGUUGGGAUUGAGGAACUCAGCACGCCGCAAGGCCGGGUUUCGACCACGUUCGUGCUUAGGAUGCUGGCAUAAUGGCUUUAAGCGACCCGUCUUGAAACACGGACCAAGGAGUCUAACAUGCCUGCGAGUAUUUGGGUGGAAAACCCGAGUGCGCAAUGAAAGUGAAAGUUGAGAUCCCUGUCGUGGGGAGCAUCGACGCCCGGACCAGAACUUUUGCGACGGAUCCGCGGUGGAGCAUGUAUGUUGGGACCCGAAAGAUGGUGAACUAUGCCUGAAUAGGGUGAAGCCAGAGGAAACUCUGGUGGAGGCUCGUAGCGAUUCUGACGUG